UUUUACACUUCACGCCAAAUGCCUGGACUCUUUCUCUCUCUCUUAAUAACCCACUACAAUGGAAGACAAUGCCUUGGUGUUGUUGCUCUAUGUUGGUCGUCACAAGUGGAAGCUUCUCAUGUCUCCUUUGUUGCUCAUGCUUUUGCGUAUCUCACCACUGGCUUCCUCCUUCAGUGAAGAAGGUUUGUUUUUUUGUGUCUGCAUUUUCAUUUUGACCCACUCCUUUUGUUCGUUUCAUUUUCUUCUUUUUUACUUCACCCAUCAAAAUUUUGCCUUGCCUUUUUUCUCUUGGCUUUUGCAUUCUGGGUAGUGUGAUUCUAUUUUUUAUUGUGGCUUUUUUUUUUGUUCUGCUGACCUUUGUGGGUAUGUCUUUCCUUGCAUGAGUAUCGGUUCAUAAAAACACCAAAGCUGUGAUUUUUAUCUUAAGACUCCAUGAGUACAGAGAAGGUGGAAGAAGACACUAAAGUUGUGAUUUUUAUCUCCAAAAAGCUUCGAUUUUUAUCUCCUUUUCAUCUCAAACAGAGAAGGUAGAAGAAGACACUAAAGCUACGAUUUUUAUCUCAUUUUCAUCUCAAACAGAGAAACUAGAAGAAGACACUAAAGCUGCGAUUUUUAUCUCCAAAUUAUCUCAUUUUCAUCUCAAACAGGUUUGUUUUCUUUGUUUUUUUGUCUACAAGUUCAUUUUCUUUGUUUCUCACAAUACAAAAGUUUAAAUUUUUUUGUGUUCCUUAGUCUUCUCCGACGUCCUCAUCCUUUCCACUUACUUUUUUGUGGCCUUUUCUCAGUUAUCAUAUGUAAUGUUGCAUGAAUAAAAAAAUGAACUUUGUUUUGAUUUCUGGGUUCUGUCGAUACAAAAUAUUGAAUUCUUUUGUGUUCCUCAGCCUUAUUUGACGGUGGUUCGGUAU